CUUCCCUUAAGGCGGCAGCGGAAGGUGGGAGCGGCGAGGGUCCGGCGGACGCGGGGCCGGGUAUCCCUUACAGCACAGUUUGGAGUGAGGGGACACCCUUAGAAACUGAACAUAGAACCUGCUCCAUGGCACAAUAAGAUGAUUCCAAGGAUACUUGUGAGCAGCUGAUGGAAGCAGCAUGGGAGAAAGGACAUGCCAGUUUCAUGCUUGUACCAUCAGGUGGUACAGCCAGUCAGUUGGACAGUCGUGCAUGUGCUGCUGGUUAGAACAUGUUAGACUUGUAUGACAUACUUCCCUCUCAAAUAUCCAUGCCCAUGUGGUGAAUUUCUGUUACUACUCGUCAUCUUUGAAAUUACUCAUAGC